AGUCAUUGCUAUUGGAGUCCGAUUUAGCCAUGCUAGUUGCUCGAGUUCAGACUCGUAGCAGAUAGCUCAGUAACACGUGGCCAAACUGCCCUAUAGACGGCGAUAACCUCGGGAAACUGAGGCUAAUAGCCGAUACCGUUCACUGCCUGGAGUGGCGUGAACGCGAAACGUUCAGGCGCUAUAGGAUGUGGCUGCGGCCGAUUAGGUAGACGGUGGGGUAACGGCCCACCGUGCCCAUAAUCGGUACGGGUUGUGAGAGCAAGAGCCCGGAGACGGUAUCUGAGACAAGAUACCGGGCCCUACGGGGCGCAGCAGGCGCGAAACCUUUACACUGCACGCGAGUGCGAUAAGGGGACUCCAAGUGCGAGGGCAUAUAGUCCUCGCUUUUUUCGACCGUAAGGUGGUCGAGGAAUAAGUGCUGGGCAAGACCGGUGCCAGCCGCCGCGGUAAUACCGGCAGCACGAGUGAUGACCGCUAUUAUUGGGCCUAAAGCGUCCGUAGCUGGCCAGGCAAGUCUAUCGGGAAAUCUGCGCGCUUAACGCGCAGGCGUCCGGUGGAAACUGCGUGGCUUGGGACCGGAAGACCAGAGGGGUACGUCCGGGGUAGGAGUGAAAUCCCGUAAUCCUGGACGGACCACCGGUGGCGAAAGCGCCUCUGGAAGACGGAUCCGACGGUGAGGGACGAAAGCUCGGGUCACGAACCGGAUUAGAUACCCGGGUAGUCCGAGCUGUAAACGAUGUCUGCUAGGUGUGGCACAGGCUACGAGCCUGUGCUGUGCCGUAGGGAAGCCGAGAAGCAGACCGCCUGGGAAGUACGUCCGCAAGGAUGAAACUUAAAGGAAUUGGCGGGGGAGCACUACAACCGGAGGAGCCUGCGGUUU
rnacentral:rRNA from 1 species